UGGGGAAUAUUGGACAAUGGGCGGAAGCCUGAUCCAGCAACGCCGCGUGAGGGAUGACGGCCUUCGGGUUGUAAACCUCUUUCAGUACCGACGAAGCGAAAGUGACGGUAGGUACAGAAGAAGGACCGGCCAACUACGUGCCAGCAGCCGCGGUAAUACGUAGGGUCCGAGCGUUGUCCGGAAUUAUUGGGCGUAAAGGGCUCGUAGGCGGUUUGUCGCGUCGGGAGUGAAAACAGCGGGCUUAACUCGUUGCUUGCUUUCGAUACGGGCAGACUAGAGGUAUGCAGGGGAGAAUGGAAUUCCUGGUGUAGCGGUGAAAUGCGCAGAUAUCAGGAGGAACACCGGUGGCGAAGGCGGUUCUCUGGGCAUUACCUGACGCUGAGGAGCGAAAGUGUGGGGAGCGAAC
rnacentral:rRNA from 1 species